rnacentral:rRNA from 1 species
GACGAACGCUGGCGGCGUGCUUAGCACAUGCAAGUCGAACGAAAAUACCAAGCUUGCUUGGUUGAUUAGUGGCGAACGGGUGAGUAACACGUGAGUAACCUGCCCCUUACUUUCCUGGAUAACUGCUCGAAAGGGUAGCUAAUACGGGAUAUUCUGACCAGCCUGCAUGGGUUGGUUUGGAAAGGUUGUUUUUCUGGUAAGGGAUGGGCUCGCGGCCUAUCAGCUUGUUGGUGGGGUGAUGGCCUACCAAGGCUUUGACGGGUAGCCGGCCUGAGAGGGUGGACGGUCACACUGGGACUGAGAUACGGCCCAGACUCCUACGGGAGGCAGCAGUGGGGAAUAUUGCACAAUGGGCGCAAGCCUGAUGCAGCGACGCCGCGUGAGGGAUGAAGGCCUUCGGGUUGUAAACCUCUUUCGUCAGGGAACAAGGCACUGUCUUUUUGGUGGUGUUGAGGGUACCCGGAUAAGAAGCGCCGGCUAACUACGUGCCAGCAGCCGCGGUAAUACGUAGGGCGCAAGCGUUGUCCGGAAUUAUUGGGCGUAAAGAGCUCGUAGGCGGCUGGUCGCGUCUGUCGUGAAAACUUCCGGCUCAACCGGGGGCUUGCGGUGGGUACGGGCCGGCUAGAGUGCGGUAGGGGUAACUGGAACUCCUGGUGUAGCGGUGGAAUGCGCAGAUAUCAGGAAGAACACCGAUGGCGAAGGCAGGUUACUGGGCCGUUACUGACGCUGAGGAGCGAAAGCGUGGGGAGCGAACAGG